rnacentral:rRNA from 1 species
AUGAACGCUGGCGGAGUGGCCUAACACAUGCAAGUCGAGCGGCAGCGCGAGUAGUUUUACUACUUGGCGGCGAGCGGGCGGACGGCUGAGUAACGCGUGGGAAACAUGCCCCAAAAGUGAGGAAUAAGCACCGGGAAACGGUGUCUAAUGCCCGCAUAUGAUCUUCGGAUUAAAGGAUUUAUCCGCUUUGGGAGUGGCCUGCGUACGAUUAGAUAGUUGGUGAGGUAAAGGCUCACCAAGUCGACGAUCGUUAACUGGUUUGAGAGGAUGAUCAGUCAGACUGGAACUGAGACACGGUUCCAGACUCCUACGGGAGGCAGCAGUGAGGGAAUCUACUUCCCACAAUGGGCCGAAAGCCUGAUGGAGCAAACUCCGCGUGCAGGAUGAAGGCCUUCGGGUUCGUAAAAACUGCUUUUAUGAGUGAAGAAUAUGACGGUAAACUCAUGAAUAAUAAGGGUCGGCUAACCUACGGUGCCCAGCAGCCGCGGUCAUAACGUAGGACCCAAGCGUUUAUUCCGGAGUGACUGGGCGUAAAGAGUUGCGUAGGUGGUCUCAUAAGCGAAUAGUGAAAUCUGGUGGCUCAACCAUACAGACUAUUAUUCGAACUGUGAGACUCGAGAACAGCAGAGGUAACUGGAAAUUUUCUGAAGUAGGGGUAAUAUCCGUAGAUAUCAGAAGGAAACACCAAUGGCGUAGGCAGGUUACUGAGGCUGUUUUCUGACACUAGAGGCACGAAAGCGUGGGGAGCGAACCGGAUUAGAUACCCGGGUAGUCCCACGCCCGUAAACGAUGGAUACUAGCUGUUGGAGGUAUCGACCCCCUUCAGUAGCGAAGCUAACGCGUUAAGUAUCCCGGCCUGUGGAGGUACGGUCGCAAGACUAAAACAUAAAGGAAUUGACGGGGACCCGCACAAGCGGGUGGAUCAUGUUCUUUAAUUCGAAUGAUAAACGAAGAACCUUACCAGGGCUUGACAUCCAGGGGAAGCACUACGAAAAGUAGAGUGUGCCUUUUGGAACCCCUGUGGAACAGAUGAUGCAUGGCCGGUCGUCCAGCCUCGUGUCGUGAGAUGCUUGGUAGUAAGUCCAUCAACGAGCGCAACCCUUGUGAUUAGUUGGAUUUUUCUAAAUCAGACUGCCCCGGUAACGGGGGAGGAAGGAGGGGAUGACGUCAGGUCCAGUAUUUCUCUUACGUCCUGGGCUAGAAACGUGAUAAUACAAUGGCAGGUACAAUGCGCAGCGAAAGCCGCGAGGGUGAAGCAAAUCGCAUCAAAAGCUUGUCCCAGUUUCGGAUAGGAGGCUGAAAACUCGCCUCCUUUGAAGUCGGAAAUCGCUAGUAAUCGCGGGAUCAGCAUGCCGCGGGUGAAUACGUUCCCGGGCCUUGUACACACACCGCCCGUCACCACCCAUGGGAGUUUGGUUUUUUACCCGAAGGUUAGUGCGCGCCUAACCGCAAGGAGGCCAGCU